UACGUAGGGUGCGAGCGUUAAUCGGAAUUACUGGGCGUAAAGCGUGCGCAGGCGGUUUUGUAAGCCAGAUGUGAAAUCCCCGGGCUUAACCUGGGAAUGGCAUUUGGGACUGCAAGGCUGGAGUGUGGCAGAGGAGACUGGAAUUCCUGGUGUAGCAGUGAAAUGCGCAGAUAUCGGGAGGAACACCGGUGGCGAAGGCGGCUCACUGGACCAUUACUGACGCUGAGGCACGAAAGCUAGGGGAGCAAACAGG
rnacentral:rRNA from 1 species